AUUGAACGCUGGCGGCAUGCCUUACACAUGCAAGUCGAACGGCAGCACGGGAGCAAUCCUGGUGGCGAGUGGCGAACGGGUGAGGAAUGUAUCGGAACGUGCCCCGUCGUGGGGGAUAACGCAGCGAAAGCUGUGCUAAUACCGCAUACGAUCUAAGGAUGAAAGCGGGGGAUCGGAAGACCUCGCCCGAUUGGAGUGGCCGAUAUCAGAUUAGCUAGUUGGUGGGGUAAAGGCUCACCAAGGCGACGAUCUGUAGCUGGUCUGAGAGGACGACCAGCCACACUGGAACUGAGACACGGUCCAGACUCCUACGGGAGGCAGCAGUGGGGAAUUUUGGACAAUGGGCGCAAGCCUGAUCCAGCAAUGCCGCGUGCAGGAUGAAGGCCUUCGGGUUGUAAACUGCUUUUGUACGGAGCGAAAAGGUUCUCUCUAAUACAGGGGGCUCAUGACGGUACCGUAAGAAUAAGCACCGGCUAACUACGUGCCAGCAGCCGCCGUAAAAC
rnacentral:rRNA from 1 species